AGUCGUAACAAGGUUUCCGUAGGUGAACCUGCGGAAGGAUCAUUACAGAGAGGGGCUUCGCGCUCCAGGGGGCUUCGGCCCCCGACUCUACACCCUGUGACUACAUACCUUUCAUGUUGCUUUGGCGGGCCUUGGGGUCAAGCCCAUGCCGGUCCGCCGGUCAGUGCCCGCCGAGAGCCCAUCAAAACUCGUUUAAUUUAGUGAAGUCUGAGUGGAGUAUCAAAUAAUCAAAACUUUCAACAACGGAUCUCUUGGUUCUGGCAUCGAUGAAGAACGCAGCGAAAUGCGAUAAGUAAUGUGAAUUGCAGAAUUCAGUGAAUCAUCGAAUCUUUGAACGCACAUUGCGCCCCUCGGUAUUCCGGGGGGCAUGCCUGUUCGAGCGUCAUUACAACCCUCAAGCGUAGCUUGGUAUUGGGCGUUCGCCCCCUGGGCGGGCCCGAAAACCAUUGGCGGUCCGGCGUGACUUUAAGCGUAGUAAUUUCUCUCCCGCUUUGAAUGCUCGCGCCGUGCCGGCCAGACAACCCUUAUGUACAUCAAUAAUUGACCUCGGAUCAGGUAGGGAUACCCGCUGAACUUAAGCAUAUCAAUAAGCGGAGGAAAAGAAACCAACAGGGAUUGCCUCAGUAACGGCGAGUGAAGCGGCAACAGCUCAAAUUUGAAAUCUGGCUCCUUCGGGGUCCGAGUUGUAAUUUGUAGAAGAUGCUUCGGGGGCGGUGCCGGUUUAAGUCCCUUGGAACAGGGUGUCAUAGAGGGUGAGAACCCCGUAUGUGACCGGUGGCCAACCCCAUGUGAAGCUCUUUCGACGAGUCGAGUUGUUUGGGAAUGCAGCUCAAAACGGGUGGUAAAUUUCAUCUAAAGCUAAAUACCGGCCAGAGACCGAUAGCGCACAAGUAGAGUGAUCGAAAGAUGAAAAGCACUUUGGAAAGAGAGUUAAACAGUACGUGAAAUUGUUGAAAGGGAAGCGCUCGCCACCAGACCUGCCCUCGGACGAUCAGCGGUAGUUCUUCUGCCGUGCACUCGUUCGUGAUCAGGCCAGCAUCGGUUUCGGCGGCCGGAUAAAGAUCCUUGGAAUGUGGCUCCCCUCGGGGAGUGUUAUAGCCUCGGGUGCAAUACGGCCGGCUGGGACCGAGGACCGCGCUUCGGCUAGGAUGCUGGCGUAAUGGUGGUGAGCGACC
rnacentral:rRNA from 1 species